rnacentral:lncRNA from 10 species
CUAACGUCUUCAGCUCAUGUAUUAUGGCCUGGUAUUCAAACUGCGAGGUGGGAGCCUGUUGGCAGAGCCCCCUUUUUUUUGCUAAGAACUUUCUUUUAAUAAAUUCCACUCUCCUCACCUUUCAAUGUGUUCACGUGCCUAAUUUUUCCUGGUCAUGAAACAAGAACCUGGAGUUUAGCUGAACUAAGGAGCAAAAAGUCCUGCAUCACUUUGAUGGCUGGAACAGGGACAUGAGGAAAGGGUGCCGAUGCCACAUGAAACUUACAUGAAGUAAAUUUCUACGCCUUCCUCUUGUGAAUCUGUUUUACAUCAAUUUAAUUAUCAGACCUAGCCAAGACCCUGAGAGGAUACAGGGUCACUCACAUAACUCUCCACGGCUCUACUGGUUGAUCCAACGAAAUGAACCUGGUCUGUUUUGUUCUGCUCCUUGUAUUCUCAUUCACCUGCAGGUUCAACUGAGAUUCUCCCAAGGCAGCACUGCACUCCCCAAGGACAGUGAGUUGGUGCAUGGCAGUUCUAAAACCCAGACAGGCAUCCAUUGCAAGGUCCUCAUAUUGCAGGGAUAGGGGGUUCUCCUGGAUAAGGAUCAAGUCAUUAUCCUCAGAUGUGGUUUCUUACAUAUCUUUCAUGGUUCUUGGCAAAUCAUCUGGAUCUUUGCUCUGUUCUCUGAUACACUGUUUCAUAUUUAUAACAAAUGGACUGUGUGUUGUUUAUUCAAAGCUAAAAAGCUUUCUUAAACUGUGUCCAACUCAUAGAAGCUUGAGCACCCAAAACCUUUUCCUUUUAAUAUUUCUUGGUCCCUUUUAGUCCAAUUUGGAAAACUCCUUUGUAAUCACUGAGGGCGUGAUAUGGUUUGGCUGUGUCCCCAUCCAAAUCUCACCUUGAAUUGUAAUAAUCCCCAUGUGUUAAGGGCAGGGCCAGGUGGAGAUAAUUGAAUCGUGGGGGCAGUUUCCCCCAUACUGUUCUUGUGUUGAUAAAUAAGUCUCAUGAGAUUGCAUGGUUUUAUAAAUGGGAGUUCCCCUGCACAAGCUCUCUUUCCUGCCACCAUGUAAGACAUGACUUUGCUCCUCCUUUGCCUUCCACCAUGAUUGUGAGGCCUCCCCAGCCAUGUGGAUCUGUGAAUCAAUUAAACUUCUUU